UACGGAGGCCCCGAGCGUUGUUCGGAUUUAUUGGGCGUAAAGGGUGCGUAGGCGGCAUCUUAAGUCUGGUGUGAAAGGCGCGGGCUCAACCCGCGGACUGCAUUGGAUACUGGGAUGCUGGAGGACUGGAGAGGAGAAUGGAAUUCACGGUGGAGCAGUGAAAUGCGUAGAUAUCGUGAGGAAGGCCAGUGGCGAAGGCGAUUCUCUGGACAGUACCUGACGCUGAGGCACGAAGGCUGGGGGAGCGAACAGG
rnacentral:rRNA from 1 species